CAGCCGCCGCGGUAAUACGGAGGGUGCAAGCGUUGUUCGGAAUUAUUGGGCGUAAAGCGCGUGUAGGCGGAUAGAUAAGUCAGGCGUGAAAUCCCUUGACUCAAUCAAGGAACUGCACUUGAAACUAUUUAUCUCGAGUACGAUAGGGGAGGGUGGAAUUCCCAGUGUAGAGGUGAAAUUCAUAGAUAUUGGGAGGAACACCAGUGGCGAAGGCGACCCUCUGGAUCGAUACUGACGCUGAGACGCGAAAGCGUGGGUAGCAAACAGGAUUAGAUACCCUGGUAGUCCACGCUGUAAACGAUGUGCACUAGGUGUUGGAGGUACUUAAUCCUUCAGUGCCGCAGCUAACGCAUUAAGUGCACCGCCUGGGGAUUACGGCCGCAAGGUUAAAACUCAAAGGAAUUGACGG
rnacentral:rRNA from 1 species